rfam:Villosiclava virens strain TV-8b Sca_51, whole genome shotgun sequence.
ACAUACGACCACAGCCGCUUGAAAAUUCUGGAUCCCGUCCGAUCUCCGAUAGAUAACCAGGCGAGCGCCGGAUUAGUAGUUGGGUCGGUGACGACCAGCGAAUACCUGGUGUUGUAUGUU